AGCGAACGCUGGCGGCAGGCCUAACACAUGCAAGUCGAACGAAGUCUUCGGACUUAGUGGCGGACGGGUGAGUAACACGUGGGAACGUGCCUUUAGGUUCGGAAUAACUCAGGGAAACUUGUGCUAAUACCGAAUGUGCCCUUCGUGGGAAAGAUUUAUCGCCUUUAGAGCGGCCCGCGUCUGAUUAGCUAGUUGGUGAGGUAAAGGCUCACCAAGGCGACGAUCAGUAGUUGGUCUGAGAGGAUGAUCAGCCACAUUGGGACUGAGACACGGACCAAACUCCUACGGGAGGCAGCAGUGGGGAAUCUUGCGCAAUGGGCGAAAGCCUGACGCAGCCAUGCCGCGUGAAUGAUGAAGGUCUUAGGAUUGUAAAAUUCUUUCACCGGGGACGAUAAUGACGGUACCCGGAGAAGAAGCCCCGGCUAACUUCGUGCCAGCCGCCGCCGUAA
rnacentral:rRNA from 1 species